CCUCGCAGCCACCCAGCUGGACCCGAGGGACCUGCAGGGGCUGUUCCAGGAGGCGGCGGCCAGCGUCUCCUGCAUCAGCGCCAGCGCGACCUCCUUGGAGCAGGGCCUCCGGUCCCUGGGGACACCGAGGGACACCCAGGAGCUGCGGGACAGCCUGCACCUGGCGCAGCAGGAGACCAACCGCACCAUCGCCACCAGCACCAGUGUGGUGAAGCGGCUGGCGGAGCUGCUGCGGGGCUGCUCCCGGCAGGAGCGGCUUCAGCUGGACCGCCUGAAAACUCAGCUCUCGGACGCCAUUCAGCGCUACGGGGCGGUGCAGACGACAAUUGCGGAGAAGUCCCGAGCUCUGCUUCCCACGGCGCAGACGGGCGGCCGGCAGCAGGUGGGUGCCGGGGACUCGCUGUGGCCGUGACGGAGGGGACCGGGGAAGAGCAGGAGGGGCUGAGGGCAGGGCCUUGGUCGCAGGGGUCGGCCUGGACAAAUGACCUUUAAAAAGUUGGCAUUUGACAACCGGCCGGCGUGGCUCAGUGGUUGUUCGUCGGCCUAUGAACAGGAGGUCACAGUACGAGGCCUGACCAGGGCACGUGCCUGGGUUGUGGGCUUGAUCCCCAGUGUGGG